CAAUCUUGUGUAGAUCUGGGUGGUUUUGAACUCACAGAGAUCCGUCUACUUCUUAAUCCCGAGUCCUAGGAUUAAAGGUGUGUACCAGCACCUCCUAACUUCCGGCUGCCGGGAUUAAAGACAAGUAUCACCAUUGUCUGAUUUCCAUAGCUUGAGGCUGGCAUUGCUUUCUGAAUCCUCAGCACUGGGAUUGCAGGCAUGCUUGGUGCUUCACAAGCGUGCUGGGGAUCCGAGCCAGGGUCCUCCUGCUUGUGUGACAAGCACUUUACCACCAGAGUCACCUUGCUAGCUCCAGCAAUUUCUUCUUGUUCUUGGAAACAUCCCGAAAAGACCACAGUGGUAGAAUAUUAUUUUCAGAAAUGUAGCUUGACGUUCCGAUGUGCAGUCUGUGUCUCUUUACUUUGGAGUCUCCAUAACAAAAUACUGGAGAGAAACAAGGCAUGGGAGGAGAGAUUUAUUCCAGCUACAGUUUUGGAGGAUCUCAGUUCAUCAUGGAGGGGAAGGCAUGGUGGAGUCCAGGGCAGCAGGGACCUGUGGCAGACUCCUUAUAUGAGCAUUCCAGGAAUUGCAGACCAGGUGGGACCAAGUUCAGAGCUAUCUCCUUUGAACAUACUUGGUCUUAUAAAAUGUCAUCCCCAGUUAGGAAACAAGUGUCUAAAACCUGAGCCCAUCCUGGACAGUGGCCAUCUUUCCUGAAUUAUGAGGGAGAGUAGUCAGAGGCAGGAUGAGUUGAAAUACAUAGAAGUCAUUAGGAUGUUGGUGGCCAGUUAAACUACAGCCCUCCCCAUCUUUGGAUUUGGCAGCUGCACAAGCCUAAGUGCCUUUUACCGUGUAAAUUGAUUUCUCUUACUACGACUGAGAAAGUUGUAAUGGAAAUGUAGAAGCUAUCCAAUCUGGCUCUUUUUUAUGUCCAAUUUUCAUGUAUGUUUGUUUCUUCCCCCCAAAUGUGUUUCAAGCAUCUUCAAGAAUAGCCUUCGAAAAAUGUUGUUCUUUUGGGCUCUCCCACCAAGCCAAACAGCACUAACCUUUGUACAGAAGACUCAUAAAUGUUUGUUUACAGAGGACCAUGCCCAGCGGUCCAUUUUCAGAUCACUUUGUAGCAAUGUUGCUCAGCAGGUGCUUGGAUCAGCUUUUAGGUUCUCUUCAAGCCCAUUUCUUAUGCUUGGCUCUCACUGUCAUUAUCUCUCAGACUGGGGAAAUGGUUUCAGCAAAUGAGUUUGCUCCCUUUCAUUCAGCUCUCUGACACUUCAGCAUUAGCCAGAACCUACACUGUCUGGAGGGAAUAAAGGAAAAAGAAAGGGUUUAGGGAUAUUCUACUGAAGCUAUCACAGCAGCCAUAACUCACAUUUAUUUGGGAGGUGAUAAAUAUCCAUAGAAAUAGAAAUUGCAAUUCUCAGAACUCUUGGAAAAUUAAUAUUUUAAUUCAUCUUUAUGGAUGGGUUGCUAGUGUGAUGUCACAUAUAACAGAAAAAAAUGAACCAUUUGCUGGCUUUCUUCCAACUGGCUGUGAUGUUAUCAUUUGAAACAGGUCUAUGGGAGUGGAAAUCAUGUGUGAGAUAAAUGUAAUUAGCAUAGUCAAUCAUGUGCUACAGUCUUCAAAAAUUAGUGUGGGAGAAUAUCAAGUCUGGAUCCUCUGUGGAAUCUAAGUGUCCUGCCGUUCCUAGACACUUGUGUCUCACCGUCAUUGUUACGUGCCUUCAAACCAGUCUUCUGAUAGGGUUGAGACAGUGGACUCCUUCUACCCAAGCAAAUUCUUGUGACUCAAAGCUUUUGUAAACAAUUUAUGCACAUACAAUAAAAAAUUUUAAUAUA